CUAACAGCAAGGAAUCUACUGACAACAGUUCCUGAUAGCAUUGGGGUCCUAACAAAAUUGAUACGUCUUGACUUCCACCAGAACAAAAUUUCAUCGAUUCCAUCUUCAAUUAUGGGUUGUUGCUCAUUAGCUGAGUUUUAUAUGGGAAUCAAUUUGCUUUCAUCACUACCUCAGGAACUGGGUGCACUUUCUCGUUUAGGAACUCUGGAUCUUCAUUCAAAUCAGG